UACGGGGGGGGCAAGCGUUGUUCGGAAUUACUGGGCGUAAAGGGCUCGUAGGCGGCCAACUAAGUCAGACGUGAAAUCCCUCGGCUUAACCGGGGAACUGCGUCUGAUACUGGAUGGCUUGAGUUCGGGAGAGGGAUGCGGAAUUCCAGGUGUAGCGGUGAAAUGCGUAGAUAUCUGGAAGAACACCGGUGGCGAAGGCGGUCGACUGGCCCUAAACUGACGCUGAGGCACGAAAGCGUGGGGAUCAAACGGG
rnacentral:rRNA from 1 species